AUCUGCCUUUGAGCGGGGGACAACAUUUGGAAACGAAUGCUAAUACCGCAUAACAACUUUAAACACAAGUUCUAAGUUUGAAAGAUGCAAUUGCAUCACUCAAAGAUGAUCCCGCGUUGUAUUAGCUAGUUGGUGAGGUAAAGGCUCACCAAGGCGAUGAUACAUAGCCGACCUGAGAGGGUGAUCGGCCACAUUGGGACUGAGACACGGCCCAAACUCCUACGGGAGGCAGCAGUAGGGAAUCUUCGGCAAUGGACGAAAGUCUGACCGAGCAACGCCGCGUGAGUGAAGAAGGUUUUCGGAUCGUAAAACUCUGUUGGUAGAGAAGAACGUUGGUGAGAGUGGAAAGCUCAUCAAGUGACGGUAACUACCCAGAAAGGGACGGCUAACUACGUGCCAGCAACCGCGGUAAUACGUAGGUCCCGAGCGUUGUCCGGAUUUAUUGGGCGUAAAGCGAGCGCAGGUGGUUUAUUAAGUCUGGUGUAAAAGGCAGUGGCUCAGCCAUUGUAUGCAUUGGAAACUGGUAGACUUGAGUGCAGGAGAGGAGAGUGGAAUUCCAUGUGUAGCGGUGAAAUGCGUAGAUAUAUGGAGGAACACCGGUGGCGAAAGCGGCUCUCUGGCCUGUAACUGACACUGAGGCUCGAAAGCGUGGGGAGCAAGCAGGAUUAGAUACCCUGGUAGUCCACGCCGUAAACGAUGAGUGCUA
rnacentral:rRNA from 1 species